UACGUAGGGGGCAAGCGUUGUCCGGAUUUAUUGGGCGUAAAGAGCGUGUAGGCGGCCAGGUAGGUCCGUUGUGAAAACUGGAGGCUUAACCUCCAGCUGUCGAUGGAAACCAUCUGGCUAGAGUCCGGAAGAGGAGAGUGGAAUUCCUGGUGUAGCGGUGAAAUGCGCAGAUAUCAGGAAGAACACCCGUGGCUAAGGCGGCUCUCUAGUACGGUACUGACGCUGAGACGCGAAAGCGUGGGGAGCAAACGGG
rnacentral:rRNA from 1 species